AAAGAAUGGAAAAUAAUUAAUGCAAAAGUGUAAGGAAUAGUCUUUGAUAAUAAAAUAAUUAUGUAAUACAAUACUAAUAAGACAAAUGGGCGAGGUAUAAAAUAAAGAAUUCACAAUAUCAUAUGUAUUAUUUUAUUAAGAGGUUACCUACAUAUAUUCAUCGAUUCAGUACAUGAAUUUGAAAGGAAUUUCUUACAAGUGGUAAUGUUAACCAGUCAAUGAGUCAUUGAAAUCAAUAAAAGUUAAAAGGACUACUGAAUAAUUGUUUCAUUUAUUUUAUAAAACUUUCAGUUACAGUUACAUUAUGCUACAUUGUUCUUAAAACACUUUUAAUCAACCUUCAGAAAUUGAUACCAAUUCUAUAGUCCUAAAAGAGAAAGAUAAAUCAAGGUAAACAAAUACAUAUGAGUAGAUUGACUGUAGUUCAUACCUUUGAUAUAUGUUAAUAAAUUUACGU
rnacentral:lncRNA from 1 species